AUGAUGUUUUUUCAAGCUUUCUAUGACCAUGGCAGUGAUCUGAGCGGCAUCAACACUGCCAAUAUUGUGUUGCUCCCGAAGAAAGAGAACCCAACGGAUAUUAGGAAUUUUAGGCCCAUCGCUUUGGUUCAUAGUAUACCCAAGCUUGCAACAAAGGUUCUAGCUGUCUGA
rnacentral:rRNA from 1 species